UCAGAUUGGGAUAGUGAGGUUACUGAUGA
rnacentral:sRNA from 1 species